rnacentral:miRNA from 1 species
UCUAAUUCAUUAAGUCUGGGGUGGGGACCAAGGAUUUGCAUUUCUAACAAGUUCCCAGGUGAUGCUGAUGCUGCUGGUCCAGGACUCUCACUUUAAGAAUAA